CAGUAGCCGCGGUAAUGCGAAGGGUGCAAGCGUUAAUCGGAAUUACUGGGCGUAAAGCGUGCGUAGGCGGUGAGUUAAGUCUGCUGUGAAAUCCCCGGGCUCAACCUGGGAAUGGCAGUGGAUACUGGCUCGCUAGAGUGUGUCAGAGGAUGGUGGAAUUCCCGGUGUAGCGGUGAAAUGCGUAGAGAUCGGGAGGAACAUCAGUGGCGAAGGCGGCCAUCUGGGACAACACUGACGCUGAGGCACGAAAGCGUGGGGAGCAAACAGGAUUAGAUACCCCCGUAGUCCCUGUCUCUUAUAA
rnacentral:rRNA from 1 species